GAAAUUGUCGCAGUAUAAGAGGAAAAUGUGCUGUGAUCAAUUCAUUUAUUGAAACUGAAAACCUUGAUAUCCUUAUCGGGUCUGAAUCUUGGCUGGACCUAUCAAUCAAAUUUGCUGAGAUUUCCCCCCCUCACCUCCAAAUUUUUAAAAAGGACAGAAACACGCAUGGAGGCCGUGUCUUCAUCGGAGUUAACAAUAUAAUUCCUUGUUUUGAAAGAACAGACUUAGGCAGCGACUCUGAGCAAAUCUGGUGUCAAGCUAUACUCGAGGGUCAAUCGUUACAGAUCGGAAGCUUUUACCGACCACCCGACAUGAAAACGGAGCCUCUUUUAGAUCUUGGGUCAAACAUCUCCAAAAUUAACGUCUCGUCACGCUCUCCACUUAUCAUCCUGCGGGGCGAUUUCAAUGCCGCCGGCCUGGCCUCAGACGAGCCGCGGCGGGCGCUCAAGAACGAGUUCCUGGAGUUCUAAAGUAAGACUCCAGAUGACACUGAGGGACUCUUGAGACAAGACCAUCAGUGCUGUUGCGCUGCCCCUAGUAACUGGCCGGAAGUGGACACCAUCUGAUGCAGUACAGCAAGCAUCAUCAGCCCUGAGGCACAAGGACAUCGUGGGUCAAGUCCAGCAGGGAAGAGGAGGCUUUGGCCUUACGACAAGUAAACCAACUUGGCGAAAGGCCACAACAUCAGAGCGGAGGACAUUGGUGGUCGAGGAGGUGCAGCGACAGGAGGAGGCCACAAGAAGUGCAAAGGCGGUCUCUCUUGCCAAACAGGGGCAAUGGAUGCAGUGGGAAGGUGUGGAACGGAGGAAGAUCAGCUGGAAAGAAUUAUGGGAAAUGGAAGCAAGCAAGAUCAAAGAUCUUAGAGGGACAAGAUAGACCACUCCUCGAAAAACGCGUAGUAUGACGUGUGUGACCGUCGACGCCAUUUUGUUAAGCAUUUAUUGGGCUUCCCCCACACUGUCAUGGCGUCCUGAUCUAAAUUUCAUCUCACUGCUCUGCUAUCAAGUAUUCUAAUCGUAAAUCUAAACGACCCGACCUGUCAUUCUUUAGGUUCCCCAAUAAAAAAGAAAGAUGUCAACAGUGGGUCCAGAAUACUCAUCGACAAGAUCUCCUGCACCGAACUGCAGAGUAUUUGUCAAAUAACUGCCGUCUUAUGUACAUUGUGUGAAAUUGUGAUUUGUUAACUGCACAAAACUAAUGCAAAUGGCGAUACAUGCCUGCAUUUGGCCCAUACCCCUCUAAACCUGUCCUAACCAUCAAAUAACCUAACAGAACUGUCAUGAGGAAAGAUUUAAAAGACUAGGCUUGUAUUCACUGGAGUUUAGAAGGAUGAGGGGGAUCUUAUCAUAUUGUUUACAGUGUACUAUGUUUACAGAUUCUGUUGUGCUGCUGAAAGUAAGAAUUUAAUUGUUCUAUCUGGGACAAGCUAGAUGCAGGAAAAUUGUUCUACAUGACAAUAAAACCCUCUUGUUAGAUGCAAGGGGAUCUUAUAGAAACAUCUAAAUGAAUAAAAGGACUGAACAAGCUAGAUACAGGAAAAAUGUUCCCAAUGUUGGGCGAGUCCAGAACCAGGGGCCACAGUCUUAGAACAAAGGGGAGGCCAUUUAAGACUGAGGUGAGAAAAAACUUUUUCACCCAGAGAGUUGUGAAUUUGUGGAAUUCCCUGCCACAGAGGGCAGUGGAGGCCAAAUCACUGGGUGGAUUUAAGAGAGAGUUAGAUAGAUCUCUAGGGGCUAGUGGAAUCAAGGGGUAUGGGGAGAAGGCAGGCAUGGGUUAUCGAUUGGGGCUGAUCAGCCAUGAUCACAAUGAAUGGCGGUGUUGGGUCGAAGUGCCAAAUGGCCUCCUCCUGCACCUAUUUUCUAUAUUUCUAAAACACUCAUCCAGCAAUCCUCGAGCCCACCAGCUCAUCCCGUAGUCAAUUCAUCAGCUUUUCCAUAAGAACUUCCAUCAGUUCUUGCAAAAGAAUGACAAUCAGCCAAUCUCGAUUACCCUCAGCCCAUCAAGCAGUCCCUUAAUUCGCACAGAAGUCUGAACUAUUGAAUGCUCACUGCAUCUCUUUCCAUGUCAGCAAGUUAAUAUCCAGCUGCAUAUGAACCAUGUGAAAAAUGAAUAAAUAGAUGCAUGUGGUGCAGUGAUUUGUGCAGCACUAUAGGCCUGGAGACCAAGAGGAGUUCACCAUUGAACGGAGUUUGAACGGGGGGCUUGAGGCCCCCGACCGAGGAAGAACAAAAGGAAGGGACUUGAACUUUAUUUCGCCUUCCAUCACAGUGAGGAAUGUGUAGGAGUCACUUUGGUGAAUGUCCGUAUUAAAAUGUGUUUUUGAGUGCUGUUGCUUUUAAUUGUAUGACUGACCUGGCCAAUGAAAUUCCUCGUAUAUUGCAAAACAUACUUGGAAAAUAAAAUCUGAUUAUGAUUCUGAAAA